UUCUACUUUUUUAAGUUUUUUACAUCUCCUUUUAACAGUUAUGUUAUGCAUUUUUCUAUUCUUGAAUUUUAGUCCAUAGUGCAUGUGGAUACUCACAAAGAUUGCUACAAUUCUAACCUUGACUCUAUUGCAGCACAAGUUCAUGUCUUUGUAUUGCUGUGUGUUAAGUAUUGCUGUGUUUAUUAGAUGGGAAAUAUAGAAGAGCUUAUUAAAAUCUUCUUACAAAGACCAUUAAGUAUUUUCUUUCUA